rnacentral:tRNA from 1 species
GGAGAGUUGGCCGAGCGGCUGAAGGCGCCACCCUGCUAAGGUGGUAUAGGGCGAUUUCCCUAUCGAGGGUUCGAAUCCCUCACUCUCCGCCA